CCUCGACCUCUGCCCACUGGGAGCUGGGUCUGCAGCCUGGCUCCCGCCCCGUCCCCUGCCGAGCUCUGCUGAAGAGCAAAGCAGAAUGUCCCUGAGGAGGGGGCCUCGCCAGCUCCUGCACUGGAGGAGCCUCUGAGUACAUCGAACUGGAGUCUGAGCUGGUCACACAAGCCCCCGCUGAGCACCUGCCAUGGGCUGGGACAUCCUGGGGACGGAAUGUUCUGGAACCACAGCAGUAGGUCAGAUGGGAACUCUGGCACAGACGCCCCCUUUCCAGAUUCUUGUCCAGAUCCCAAGAUGGAUACAAAACAUGGUGAAUUUGAGGUCACCGGGGCUGCUCCCUGGCCCAGGCGGGGAGAGGCUGUGAGCCUCUCUGGAAGCAGGGGGAGCAUUCCUCCUGCUCACGGUCCACUGGCUGGAGCCCAGCCAGGGCCCACCCAGCUGCAGCAGAGCCUGGAUGGAUCAAGGCGUGCCCAGGAACAAGAGAAGGGACACGUGUCGAAAGCAGAGAGCAGCAUCGACCUGUGUUCAUAGUUAACAGUUGACUAUUUUGACACUUGAGAAUGUUUCCUAGAAUAAAAAUGAGUAAGAAAAGGUUGAAUUUGGCAAAGACAUAAGGCAUACAUUCACGAGAGGUGCUCUCCUAUGGACACAGCAGGUCACUUUAACUGCCUUAGAAAUCUGGAAACAAGGAAAUUCUGAGACCCACAAAUCUGGCAUUUAUCAACCAUCUUUUCUUUCAAUGACAAAUGUAGGUAGUAUAAUUAUUUUAUGAGCAUACAGAGAAACAUAACUUUAGACUCACAAAUGACUGAAAAGUAUUGAUCUACGUGGUUCUUUUCAACCAAAAUUAAUGUAAAUAAUGUAAAAAAAAAAAGUUGAAUUAAAG
rnacentral:lncRNA from 1 species